CAGCAGCCGCGGGAAUACGAAGGUCCCGAGCGUUGUUCGGAAUCACUGGGCGUAAAGGGAGCGUAGGCGGCGUGGUAAGUCAGAUGUGAAAUCCCGGGGCUCAACCCCGGAACUGCAUCCGAUACUGCCGUGCUAGAGGAUUGGAGAGGUAGCUGGAAUUCUUGGUGUAGCAGUGAAAUGCGUGGAGAUCAAGAGGAACACUCGUGGCGAAAGCGAGCUACUGGACAAUGUCUGACGCUGAGGCUCGAAGGCCAGGGUAGCGAAAGGGAUUAGAGACCCGUGUAGUCCCUGUCUCUUAUAA
rnacentral:rRNA from 1 species